GUGAACUCGAAGAGUAGGGCGGGACACGUGGUAUCCUGUCUGAAUAUGGGGGGACCAUCCUCCAAGGCUAAAUACUCCUGACUGACCGAUAGUGAACCAGUACCGUGAGGGAAAGGCGAAAAGAACCCCGGCGAGGGGAGUGAAAAAGAACCUGAAACCGUGUACGUACAAGCAGUGGGAGCACCUUCGGGUGUGACUGCGUACCUUUUGUAUAAUGGGUCAGCGACUUAUAUUCUGUAGCAAGGUUAACCGUAUAGGGGAGCCGCAGGGAAACCGAGUCUUAACUGGGCGUUAAGUUGCAGGGUAUAGACCCGAAACCCGGUGAUCUAGCCAUGGGCAGGUUGAAGGUUGGGUAACACUAACUGGAGGACCGAACCGACUAAUGUUGAAAAAUUAGCGGAUGACUUGUGGCUGGGGGUGAAAGGCCAAUCAAACCGGGAGAUAGCUGGUUCUCCCCGAAAGCUAUUUAGGUAGCGCCUCGUGAACUCAUCUUCGGGGGUAGAGCACUGUUUCGGCUAGGGGGUCAUCCCGACUUACCAACCCGAUGCAAACUACGAAUACCGAAGAAUGUUAUCACGGGAGACACACGGCGGGUGCUAACGUCCGUCGUGAAGAGGGAAACAACCCAGACCGCCAGCUAAGGUCCCAAAGUCAUGGUUAAGUGGGAAACGAUGUGGGAAGGCACAGACAGCCAGGAUGUUGGCUUAGAAGCAGCCAUCAUUUAAAGAAAGCGUAAUAGCUCACUGGUCGAGUCGGCCUGCGCGGAAGAUGUAACGGGGCUAAACCAUGCACCGAAGCUGCGGCAGCGACACUAUGUGUUGUUGGGUAGGGGAGCGUUCUGUAAGCCUGCGAAGGUGUGCUGUGAGGCAUGCUGGAGGUAUCAGAAGUGCGAAUGCUGACAUAAGUAACGAUAAAGCGGGUGAAAAGCCCGCUCGCCGGAAGACCAAGGGUUCCUGUCCAACGUUAAUCGGGGCAGGGUGAGUCGACCCCUAAGGCGAGGCCGAAAGGCGUAGUCGAUGGGAAACAGGUUAAUAUUCCUGUACUUGGUGUUACUGCGAAGGGGGGACGGAGAAGGCUAUGUUAGCCGGGCGACGGUUGUCCCGGUUUAAGCAUGUAGGCUGGUUAUCCAGGCAAAUCCGGAUAAUCAAGGCUGAGGUGUGAUGACGAGGCACUACGGUGCUGAAGUAACAAAUGCCCUGCUUCCAGGAAAAGCCUCUAAGCAUCAGGUAACAUCAAAUCGUACCCCAAACCGACACAGGUGGUCAGGUAGAGAAUACCAAGGCGCUUGAGAGAACUCGGGUGAAGGAACUAGGCAAAAUGGUGCCGUAACUUCGGGAGAAGGCACGCUGGUGUGUAGGUGAAGUCCCUGCGGAUGGAGCUGAGACCAGUCGAAGAUACCAGCUGGCUGCAACUGUUUAUUAAAAACACAGCACUGUGCAAACACGAAAGUGGACGUAUACGGUGUGACGCCUGCCCGGUGCCGGAAGGUUAAUUGAUGGGGUUAUCCGUAAGGAGAAGCUCUUGAUCGAAGCCCCGGUAAACGGCGGCCGUAACUAUAACGGUCCUAAGGUAGCGAAAUUCCUUGUCGGGUAAGUUCCGACCUGCACGAAUGGCGUAAUGAUGGCCAGGCUGUCUCCACCCGAGACUCAGUGAAAUUGAACUCGCUGUGAAGAUGCAGUGUACCCGCGGCAAGACGGAAAGACCCCGUGAACCUUUACUAUAGCUUGACACUGAACAUUGAGCCUUGAUGUGUAGGAUAGGUGGGAGGCUUUGAAGCGUGGACGCCAGUCUGCGUGGAGCCAACCUUGAAAUACCACCCUUUAAUGUUUGAUGUUCUAACGUUGGCCCCUGACCGGGGUUGCGGACAGUGUCUGGUGGGUAGUUUGACUGGGGCGGUCUCCUCCCAAAGCGUAACGGAGGAGCACGAAGGUUAGCUAAUCCUGGUCGGACAUCAGGAGGUUAGUGCAAUGGCAUAAGCUAGCUUGACUGCGAGCGUGACGGCGCGAGCAGGUGCGAAAGCAGGUCAUAGUGAUCCGGUGGUUCUGAAUGGAAGGGCCAUCGCUCAACGGAUAAAAGGUACUCCGGGGAUAACAGGCUGAUACCGCCCAAGAGUUCAUAUCGACGGCGGUGUUUGGCACCUCGAUGUCGGCUCAUCACAUCCUGGGGCUGAAGUAGGUCCCAAGGGUAUGGCUGUUCGCCAUUUAAAGUGGUACGCGAGCUGGNAGGCGCUUGAGAGAACUCGGGUGAAGGAACUAGGCAAAAUGGUGCCGUAACUUCGGGAGAAGGCACGCUGGUGUGUAGGUGAAGUCCCUGCGGAUGGAGCUGAGACCAGUCGAAGAUACCAGCUGGCUGCAACUGUUUAUUAAAAACACAGCACUGUGCAAACACGAAAGUGGACGUAUACGGUGUGACGCCUGCCCGGUGCCGGAAGGUUAAUUGAUGGGGUUAUCCGUAAGGAGAAGCUCUUGAUCGAAGCCCCGGUAAACGGCGGCCGUAACUAUAACGGUCCUAAGGUAGCGAAAUUCCUUGUCGGGUAAGUUCCGACCUGCACGAAUGGCGUAAUGAUGGCCAGGCUGUCUCCACCCGAGACUCAGUGAAAUUGAACUCGCUGUGAAGAUGCAGUGUACCCGCGGCAAGACGGAAAGACCCCGUGAACCUUUACUAUAGCUUGACACUGAACAUUGAGCCUUGAUGUGUAGGAUAGGUGGGAGGCUUUGAAGCGUGGACGCCAGUCUGCGUGGAGCCAACCUUGAAAUACCACCCUUUAAUGUUUGAUGUUCUAACGUUGGCCCCUGACCGGGGUUGCGGACAGUGUCUGGUGGGUAGUUUGACUGGGGCGGUCUCCUCCCAAAGCGUAACGGAGGAGCACGAAGGUUAGCUAAUCCUGGUCGGACAUCAGGAGGUUAGUGCAAUGGCAUAAGCUAGCUUGACUGCGAGCGUGACGGCGCGAGCAGGUGCGAAAGCAGGUCAUAGUGAUCCGGUGGUUCUGAAUGGAAGGGCCAUCGCUCAACGGAUAAAAGGUACUCCGGGGAUAACAGGCUGAUACCGCCCAAGAGUUCAUAUCGACGGCGGUGUUUGGCACCUCGAUGUCGGCUCAUCACAUCCUGGGGCUGAAGUAGGUCCCAAGGGUAUGGCUGUUCGCCAUUUAAAGUGGUACGCGAGCUGGGUUUAGAACGUCGUGAGACAGUUCGGUCCCUAUCUGCCGUGGGCGCUGGAGAAUUGAGGGGGGCUGCUCCUAGUACGAGAGGACCGGAGUGGACGCAUCACUGGUGUUCGGGUUGUCAUGCCAAUGGCACUGCCCGGUAGCUAAAUGCGGAAGAGAUAAGUGCUGAAAGCAUCUAAGCACGAAACUUGCCCCGAGAUGAGUUCUCCCUGAGACUNUAAGUCUCCUGAAGGAACGUUAAAGACGAUGACGUUGAUAGGCCGGGUGUGUAAGCGCAGCGAUGCGUUGAGCUAACCGGUACUAAUGAACCGUGAGGCUUAACCUU
rnacentral:rRNA from 1 species